GUAUAUUGGAAAUAUACCACACCCCCUCGUGCCUUAUUGCUUAAGUGUAUACCAGUAAGUCUACUUACUGACAGAGAUACAAUCUUUGGGGAACGUUAUGUACAGAUGUUCUUGGGUGGAGGCUUCAUAUCUCAUAAGUGCAUGGGUGCUUGUAAGUCGCUCUGGUUAAGAGCGUCUGCUAAAUGAUGUAAAUGUAAUGUAAAUGUGCUCAGCUGCCGUAACCACGCUCUUUGCUGUAUCUGCGUUAUAUCACACAGUUAAAAAGACGCAAGCUCACUUGUCAGGUCACUGGAUUUACUUAGCUUGCUCUGUUUCCUCUACCUCUGACCCUGAUGACAUCAUGGUGACCCUGACUGGACCUCCUCUAUGGGGCUUCCGCCUCUAACUGUCACCAAGGUGAAUGGGUUAAUCAAAGCUGAGCUGGCUAACUAGUGAGUGGGUGAUAUCAUAGUGGAGAUAAAUGGAGAGAGUACUGCAGGGAUGCUGCAUGUGCAAGCUCAGAAAAACAGCAAGGAAUCCAGACCCCCAGCUUACACUCCUCAUAGACAGACCUAAAACAGUAUUUGGACUGACCAGAAGGGUGGCUUUUCCUCAGGACUUAGUCUGUCAUAAC